rnacentral:rRNA from 1 species
GAUGAACGCUGGCGGCGUGCCUAAUACAUGCAAGUCGAGCGAACGGACGAGAAGCUUGCUUCUCUGAUGUUAGCGGCGGACGGGUGAGUAACACGUGGAUAACCUACCUAUACGACUGGGAUAACUUCGGGAAACCGGAGCUAAUACCGGAUAAUAUUUUGAACCGCAUGGUUCAAAAGUGAAAGACGGUCUUGCUGUCACUUAUAGAUGGAUCCGCGCUGCAUUAGCUAGUUGGUAAGGUAACGGCUUACCAAGGCAACGAUGCAUAGCCGACCUGAGAGGGUGAUCGGCCACACUGGAACUGAGACACGGUCCAGACUCCGACGUGAGGCAGCAAUAGGGAAUCGUCCGCAAUGGGCGAAAGCCUGACGGAGCAACGCAGCGUGAGUGAUGAAGGUCUUCGGAUCGUAAAACUCUGUUAUUAGGGAAGAACAUAUGUGUAAGUAACUGUGCACAUCUUGACGGUACCUAAUCAGAAAGCCACGGCUAACUACGUG